rnacentral:rRNA from 1 species
GGAGAAAUUCCAAUCGAACCCGGAGAUAGCUGGUUCUCCUCGAAAUAGCUUUAGGGCUAGCCUCAUGGAUCAUUGAUGGGGGUAGAGCACUGAAUGUGCGCGGGGGCCACAAAGCCUACCAAACGCUAUCAAACUUCGAAUACCAUACAAUGCAGACCAUGGGAGUCAGUCCGCGAGAGAUAAGUUCCGCGGGCAAAAGGGGAACACCCCAGAUCAACCGCUAAGGUCCCCAAGUUCACGUUAAGUGGAGAAGGAUGUGGAAUUGCACAGACAACCAGGAUGUUGGCUCAGAAGCAGCCACACAUUUAAAGAGUGCGUAAUAGCUCACUGGUCGAGUGAUUGUGCGCCGAAGAUGUCCGGGGCUAAACGUGACACCGAAGCGAUGGGUGCAUCUGAAGAAGAUGUGCGGUAGAGGAGCAAUGUGCAGAGGCAGAAGCCGUAUCGAGAGGCACGGUGGACACUGCACAAGAGAGAAUGCCGGUAUGAGUAGCGAGAGGCAUGCGAGAAACAUGCCCGUCGAAAGCCCAAGGUUUCCUGGGGAAGGUUCAUCCGCCCAGGGUAAGUCGGGGCCUAAGCCGAGGACGGAAGUCGUAGGCGAUGGACAGCAGGUGUAGAUUCCUGCACUACCGAUGGAAUGAAGCAGUGACACAGAAGGAUAACUCGAGCAGGGUGAUGGUCAACCCUGUGCAAGCAUCAAGGUUGGGUUGUAGUGAAGUACGCAACCCUAUAAGCUGAGAUGUGAUGCGGACCGAAAUUUCAGUAGGGAAGCGAGUGAGUUCACGCUGGCGAGAAAAGCUGCUAGUACAUCCAAAGGUACCCGUACCGGAAACCGACGCAGGUGGGCGAGGAGAGAAUCCUGAGACGAACGGGAGAACCCUUGUUAAGGAACUCGGCAAAAUGACCCCGUAACUUCGGGAUAAGGGGUGCCUGCGAGAGCAGGCCGCAGAGAAUAGUCACAAGCGACUGUUUAGCAAAAACACAGGUAUCUGCGAAAGCGAGAGCUGACGUAUAGGUGCUGACACCUGCCCGGUGCUGGAAGGUUAAGGGAACAUGUUAGAGCAAUCGAAGCAUCGAACCGAAGCCCCAGUAAACGGCGGCCGUAACUAUAACGGUCCUAAGGUAGCGAAAUUCCUUGUCGGGUAAGUUCCGACCCGCACGAAUGGUGUAACGACUUGUGAGCUGUCUCAACAGGGGGCCCGGUGAAAUUGAAGUAUGGGUGAAGAUGCCCAUUACCCGCGACUGGACGGAAAGACCCCGUAGAGCUUUACUGCAGCCUGAUAUUGAGUUUCGGUAACUGAUGCACAGGAUAGGUGGGAGUCUGAGAGACAUGGGUUUCGGCUCAUGUGGAGACGGUGUUGGGAUACCACUCUUCGGUUACUGAAAUUCUAACAUAGCUCUGUGAAACCAGAGGAUGGACAGUGUCAGGUGGACAGUUUGACUGGGGCGGUCGCCUCCGAAAGAGUAACGGAGGCGCCCAAAGGUACCCUCAGAAUGGAUGGAAACCAUUCGAAGAGCGCAAAGGCAGAAGGGUGCCUGACUGCGAGAGUGACAACUCGAGCAGAGACGAAAGUCGGGCUUAGUGAUCCGGCGGUAUUGAGUGGAAAAGCCGUCGCUUAACGGAUAAAAGCUACCUCGGGGAUAACAGGCUGAUCUCCCCCAAGAGUCCACAU